rnacentral:lncRNA from 1 species
CUCAUCCCCAUCAAGAUUUGGAUACCCACUCGCCCAAUAUUCCUUUUCUUGCUCUUGAUAUCCCUCCAUCCCCUCCCCCUUCCUUCCUCCUCAUCCCCCACCACCACCACAACAACCACCACCUAUAAAUCCAGCGAUACCCACGACGGCCAGAGCCUAGCCGGACCAGCAAGAACCCCCGCCGCAGCCGCAGCCGCAGCCAUGAAGGUCCACCCUAUGCCCCCCAAGAAGAGGAACAUCACCCUCCAGUACGUCCCCAGGAGCGCCGCCUCAAUCGAGGCCCAGGCCCUCGCCGGUGUCGUGGCCGCCGCCGCCCACCACCACCACCAACACCAACACCACCACCACCACCACCACAAGAUCCUCCGCCGGCUCCCCCACAUCUUCAGCCGCGUCCUCGAGCUGCCCUUCCGGGCGGACGCCGAGGUGGAGGUGGAGGAGCUGCCCGGGUUCUUCCGGUUCGUCGCCGAGACCGAGGGGAUCGUGGCCGG